GUCUACGGCCAUACCACCCUGAACGCGCCCGAUCUCGUCUGAUCUCGGAAGCUAAGCUGGGUCGGGCCUGGUUAGUACUUGGAUGGGAGAAUUGUUCUAAUAAUCCUUCACAUGAAGCGAGAGCUCUUGAGU
rnacentral:rRNA from 1 species